rnacentral:lncRNA from 1 species
CUUGUUGUCGCUGAAGCAUGUUGUUGCAAAUGCUUUAUGCCCUGCCUUUCUCCCAGUGACUCUCUUGCUUUCUUUCCUAAUGGUACCAUCUGCCACUCAUAGAACUGUCGCAGAAAACACAGAGAUCUGAUCAAAGGUCAUUGGUAUUGAUAGCGCUUACUUAGCAGGUGCCUCUGCAAUCAGUUUUAAUGAGUUUGAGCCCUACUUAUUUCUCCUCCUGCUACUGGUCUAUUGAAAAAAAAAAAUAGUUGGCAGAGGUGUCAAUGACACCACAGGCACAAACUUCCUUGAUAAGCUUUGAUUUAAAGAGCCAAGAGGCAAAACCCAAAGUAACUCCUGAUGCGUGUGUUCCUGUGACAGAGGCAGUUAGAGGAGGCUUAGGAAACUCAUCUUUGAGUGAUAGUGAAGACUCAGUACGGCAUUGGCCUCAUCGUUAUUCCACAAGGCUCACCUGCAAAGUGUAUCCGCAAGGUGCAAUUUGAAGUGAUUAUUUUAAUCACAAAGUUUCAAAUGGGAGCAACAUGAGAGAUCACCACCCAAAUUUUC